AGCAUGUUAGCUCAGGGGAAGAGCGGUAUGUAAUCACGUGGCCUUAUUAAAAAUGAAACACGAAGCUAACAAACCCACAGCCGGGCUCAUAACCCGGAGGUCCUUGGAUCGAAACCAAGACAUGCUA